GGGAGUCUGGCUCAAGUGGUAGAGUGCCUGCCUGGAAAGCAGAGAGUCCUGAGUUGAAAACCCCAGUACUGCCA
rnacentral:tRNA from 1 species